rnacentral:lncRNA from 1 species
GAUUUUGUUAGAUAAAUAAUUAAAAUAGUGUAAUUUUUUGAAAUAUUUUAUAAAUUUACUGUUUUAAAAAUAAUGUGAUAUUCAUAGAAACAAAAUUUAAUUUUUUUGCUCUUAAGUGUUAUUUUUUUUGGAAAUAUACAGUUUGGUGUUAUCAUAGGAUAUUUUUCUUAUGAUUUUAUGUUUGAUAUUUUUCUUUGUUUUGGUUCGUUAUUUGUUUUUUUUUUACGUUGGUUCAUUAUUUUUUUUUAAUUAAAAUAUUUAAAUUAGUUAUAAAUAUGAUAUAUAAUAAAUAUAAUCAAAAUAUAAUUAAUGUUUAGUUAAGCUGAUAAAUAAUGUUUUGGUUAUAUUAUUAUAUGAAUUAAUACAAUUUAAAUUAACAUAUUUGAAUCAUUAUUAAUGUAAUAUGAAAAAUAUUUAAAUCACUGUUUGAAUAAGAUAACAAAAAUACAUAAAUGUAUAAGUGACAUUUGUAAUACGGUAUAGUGACCAGA